AGCUUUGUGUCAUUUGCAAACUUGCGAGUGUUGCUCCUAAUUCACUCUUCCAAAUCAUUAAUAUAUAUGGUAAACAGUUGCGGCCCCAAUAACAAACCUUACGGCACUCCACUCGACACUGCCUGCCAUUCUGAAAAGGACCCGUUCACUCCUACUCUUUGCUUCCUGUCUACCAAUCAAUUUUCUAUCCAUGUGAUCACCCUACCACCAAUACCAUGUGCUCAAGAUGGACCACUCCUGCAAAAAACAAUCGGCAAUCGGCAAUGUGGGCAAUACGACUUGUCUUUCUUCAGGUUCCCCAUUAAGGAGGAAAGAUGUCGACAUUGGACAUGAUCUACACCGAACUGCGGAGUAUUUGUGAAAUAACUGCCCUCUUAUGUACAUUGUGUGAAAUUGUGAUUUGCUAACUGCACAAAUAUAAUGCGAAUGGCGAUUUAUUUAUUAUUGUAUCUAUGUUGGACAUUUUGCUGUUUGGUGAAGCAGGGGUGGGGCUAUCAUUGUGUUACAUACGUUAAAUUGUACAUCACUUUCACUGGUUAGCUGAUAUGCUGAACUGCAACCCUGUAUAACUCGCGCACAGAAUAAUGUGAAUUGUGUAAAUCUUAUCCCAACGGGUCCCACUUAGUCUAUUGAUUGUGUAUAAGCUGCAAAUUUUGUCCUUUGUUUGAAAUGUGUAGAAUGUGACAUCACUUUUAUUGAUUAUCUGAUAUUCUAAAUUCUGCAAAUUCUGCAAGCCUGUAUAUGUCGUGCACAAAAUGAUGUAAAUAAAAAUUGUUUUCCUGUUUAAGAA